rnacentral:lncRNA from 1 species
GUUGUGUAUUAGCAUAUUCCUUGUAGUGAUUUACAGCAGCUGCUCGUCCUCCUACUUCAUGUCUCCAUCCGCAUGGAAAAGGGCAAGUUAGUUGAAUGGCAUGCACAUGAUAAAACUGCAAGGCAUAUAUAUUUAUCUACAUAAACUGCAUGUGAACACAUGUGAUGAAUUAAUGACUGAAAUCUGUACUGUACUGGUAGGUGUUUAUGCACCAAUAUGUACAUGUAAACACUUCACCGGAUAUUUCCUUCCAAACAUUGUAAGGCAAAGAUAGAUAGUGAUACUACACAUACUGAAGGUAAACCGUAUUGACUUGAAAGCAAUAAAUUGAUUGUAUAUGUUUGCCAACAUAAAAUUCUACUCAAGUUUUCACGCACAUUUACAUGUUCUGAGAUACGGAAUGCAACUGGUUUGUAGAAGAAAGAGAUUAUUUCCUAUGAAAUGCACACCUUAUAAUUAAAUAAAAUCAUUGUUGAGCAAUAGAUAAAAAUAGUAUCUCCUGAGUUGUGACAAUCCUAGAUUGAUAUUAUAGCUUUUCAACUCAUGUUAAAUAAACAUAGCAGAUUACAACACUUGGAAAGGAUAGAGAUUUCUAUUUAUAAAUAGAUAGGAGUAGAGAAAGAAGCACCUCUGAGUGGUACGCUCAUUGCUUGUAUACUUUUAUCUGAUGGGUUGUGCAGCAAGAUGAACCAUUUUCUUUAUCUGAUGGGUUGUGCAGCAAGAUGAACCAUUUUCUUCAGACUCCUCCAAAUAGAGUAUGCAACACCUCCUACUAAAUGUAAUGUAAAAAUGAGAUGCAACUAAAGAGAAGAUACACAAGUAAUGUAAUCAAUUUAAAAACAAAAUUAGCACAUGUGUGCGCCCAUCAAAAGCACAUUCAAAUAUGUACAGACUGGUAAUAUAUAACAGAGCUCAUUCACAUUGAUUUGUACGGCUUCGGUACAACCGUGUCAUUGAAUAUCAAGGAAAUAGUAAAAUAUUGCACAAAGGGAUGAUGCAAUACAUAUCAUGUUUGUAAACAAGUUCACUCUUCCAGAUGCUCAAGUCCUACGCAUGAGAUAACAUGGCAAAGAAUCAACGCGAACAUUCAUUGCGGACCAUGAGAAACAACAGUAUAAAAAAGAGUUCACUUUUUUUUCUUACAGUAUAGGAUAAAUUUAAUAGCUUGUUCAACGGCACCAACCUAAAAGUGCUACCAAAUCUGUGAUGAAAUGAAUAGUAAAAGGAACGCUUCCUUAGAAAGCAAGUCACCAAUUUUUAUCUGUUGUAAAGAGAAAAAAGAACGCUUUCUUAGAAAAAUGAACAAACCCAAAAACAAGCUUUGCACAACCAACUCUUGGUGCCCCUGGAGCGUAACAAGUUCUAUGGGCCUGUAAUGACCAUGAUUUCCAUCGAGUUUUUUCUCUUCUGUAGAUAUGCUCUCCUGUAAUAAUAUUGAAAGAACCAAGUCAGUUUCUCACUAAUAAUCACAAGACAAAGAUGCUGGGAAACUAAUCCUUACUGCUACAGGAUCAAAAAUAGUACCCCCUGUGUAAAGAAAUAUGAGGACGUUUAGAUCACUAGAGGGAGUAGUUUCUAACAUAAAUAUUAGUGUCAACUGAACUCUCACAAGUAAGACACCUGCUUGGUAAGCUCGAUUACCACAAAUUGAAUAUUAAUUCUGUAUAGGAUUACACUAAAGAAAAACAGGAAAUCAUUUAUAAGUUGACUAUUUGUGGGGCCUCAUUGGGGUUUUAUAUUUUGAAGGGACAGACACACAGGAUAGUAGUUCCAUCGUGAUGAGUACUUUUCUACUAACAACCAUCACCAUUAAUAGCAUACCCAAGACUGGACCUGGAGCAUUUGGUACAUCUCACUCAUAUCUAGCAAAGGCAGCAAUAGGUAUUAUAUAACAACCUACAAGCUCAACAAUUAAGACAUGUUUAUAUCUUGCAAAAGAAACAUGUGACGUUUUACCAAUCAAGAUAAAAUUAAGCGGCCCAAGUAAACAUGCUCAAACAAUAAUUAUCUGGAAAAAAUUAUUUGUCCCUGCUACAUGUAAAUCCAAUACCCAUUCAAUACUUGGCAUCACUAAACGAGAAAUCUAAAUGACAAAAUUAGUAAUCUCUGCUCCUACUUGAAUGAACUCAACAAAUAUGACAGCAUGCACUCUGCAUCAUAAACACUAGAAAUCACCAUGGCCAGCACAUAAUUUCUCAAGCAAUAGGGCUCCAUGGUCGUGGACACGCGCAGAGCACAAGCGUUAGCAUGAGCGAACAGUUGGUUGCUUACCAUAUAUGCCUGAGAGGAAGAAGAACGACUGGAUUCAUCGGAGUGGAAGAAGAAUCACAAGGUGGCUGUGUCCUGCACCGCCACCUGCACGCAUUAGAAAGUGCAUGAGGGAACCAAGCCAUGAUCGCUUAUGCAUCAGGGCUACCAAAUCGAACAAAGCAGGGGAGGGGGAGCAAAACAUUGACCUAUUGGUAAUAUAACACAUACACCCUCUUUACACUAUUAAAAGACGUUUUGUGCAUACCUAAUAACAUAUCACACACUUGACUAUUUAAGCAAAAAACAUGAGCUGCGCCUUCAGAUCUGGUGCUACUACAAGUGUUGAUUUCUGAAUUUGUACCUAAGUACAAGUUCAGUUCAUAUACACAAAUAUAUUAUGUAUGUUUGUGCAUGACCAUGCAGAACUGAAGUGAAUAAUGUGGACGGUGACAUAUACUGAUUGACAUGGAACAAUAUACUAUGAUGGUAGAUUUUCAAUCACGUGUCUAGAGGAGAAUUCAUAGUUGUGUAAUUGCACAUGGUCGGAAAUGCUUUACCUCCACUAAUAAUGCAUAUUGCACACUUAACUAUUUUUAGCUAAACAUGAGGCGCACCUUCAGACCUGCUACUACAAGUGUUCGAGUCUGAAUUUCUUUUGUACCACAACAUAGGAUGAGCAGAGAGAGAGAUGACAGACCCAAGCUGCUGCUGAUUUGAUGGACCUGGACGACGGUUGCACCAUAGAUUUGCUCUCUAAGAAAGCGUUCCUCUUUUCUCUGGUCAAACCCAAGUCACCAUAGAAAAAUGAACAUGCCCAAAUCUAUUCAACAUGCUGUAAAGCAAUCUACUCUAAAAUCAGAGAGCAUGCAACAUAAAAAAGGAUUAAACAAGAAACAUUUAGAUCUCCAUAGGCAUGCAGAUCGCCCCACCUCCCUUGCCCGUUUCUCGUCUUUCUCGUCCUUUUACACCUUCUACUCCAUCCUCAUCCCCUUCUACUCAUUUUGUCUGGUCACGGAAUAGACCAAA